rnacentral:rRNA from 1 species
UGGGGAAUUUUGCACAAUGGGGGAAACCCUGAUGCAGCGACGCCGCGUGAUUUAGAAGGCCUUCGGGUUGUAAAAAUCUUUUGUAUGGGAAGAAAAUGACAGUACCAUACGAAUAAGGACCGGCUAAUUCCGUGCCAGCAGCCGCGGUAAUACGGAAGGUCCAGGCGUUAUCCGGAUUUAUUGGGUUUAAAGGGAGUGUAGGCGGUUGGUUAAGCGUGUUGUGAAAAGUAGAUGCUCAACAUCUGACUUGCAGCGCGAACUGGCUGACUUGAGUACACACAACGUAGGCGGAAUUCAUGGUGUAGCGGUGAAAUGCUUAGAUAUCAUGAAGAACUCCGAUUGCGAAGGCAGCUUACGGGAGUGUUACUGACGCUUAAGCUCGAAGGUGCGGGUAUCGAACAGG